GAUGAACGCUAGCGGCAGGCUUAAUACAUGCAAGUCGUGGGGCAGCGCAGUGUAGCAAUACAUGGGCGGCGACCGGCAAACGGGUGCGUAACACGUACGCAACCUUCCCGUUACUGGGGAAUAGCCCAGGGAAACUUGGAUUAAUACACCAUAUUAUAUUGAUUGGGCAUCUAAUUAAUAUCAAAGCUUCGGCGGUAACGGAUGGGCGUGCGGUUGAUUAGGUAGUAGACGGGGUAACGGCCCACGAAGCCUACGAUCAAUAGCUGAUGUGAGAGCAUGAUCAGCCACACGGGAACUGAGACACGGGCCCGACUCCUACGGGAGGCAGCAGUAAGGAAUAUUGGGCAAUGGACGAAAGUCUGACCCAGCCAUGCCGCGUGGAGGAUGAAGGUCCUCUGGAUUGUAAACUUCUUUUUUCUGGGGCGAAAACCGGUUUUUCUAAACCAUUUGACAGUACCAGAAGAAUAAGCACCGGCUAACUCCGUGCCAGCAGCCGCGGUAACAC
rnacentral:rRNA from 1 species